rnacentral:rRNA from 1 species
GAAUUCGCCCUUAGAGUUUGAUCCUGGCUCAGGACGAACGCUGGCGGCGUGCCUAACACAUGCAAGUCGAGCGAGUGGAGUUCUUCGGAACAAAGCUAGCGGCGGACGGGUGAGUAACACGUGGGCAACCUGCCUCAUAGAGGGGAAUAGCCUCCCGAAAGGGAGAUUAAUACCGCAUAAGAUUGUAGCUUCGCAUGAAGUAGCAAUUAAAGGAGCAAUCCGCUAUGAGAUGGGCCCGCGGCGCAUUAGCUAGUUGGUGAGGUAACGGCUCACCAAGGCGACGAUGCGUAGCCGACCUGAGAGGGUGAUCGGCCACAUUGGGACUGAGACACGGCCCAGACUCCUACGGGAGGCAGCAGUGGGGAAUAUUGCACAAUGGGGGAAACCCUGAUGCAGCAACGCCGCGUGAGUGAUGACGGCCUUCGGGUUGUAAAGCUCUGUCUUCAGGGACGAUAAUGACGGUACCUGAGGAGGAAGCCACGGCUAACUACGUGCCAGCAGCCGCGGUAAUACGUAGGUGGCGAGCGUUGUCCGGAUUUACUGGGCGUAAAGGGAGCGUAGGCGGACUUUUAAGUGAGAUGUGAAAUACCCGGGCUCAACUUGGGUGCUGCAUUUCAAACUGGAAGUCUAGAGUGCAGGAGAGGAGAAUGGAAUUCCUAGUGUAGCGGUGAAAUGCGUAGAGAUUAGGAAGAACACCAGUGGCGAAGGCGAUUCUCUGGACUGUAACUGACGCUGAGGCUCGAAAGCGUGGGGAGCAAACAGGAUUAGAUACCCCUGGGAAUCCCCGCCGUAACGAUGAAUACUAGGUGUAGGGGGUGUUCAUGACUUCUGUGCCGCGGCUAAGCCAUUAAGUAUUCCGCUUGGGGAGUACGGUGGCAGGAUUAAAAUUCAAAGGAAUUGACGGGGGCCCGCCCAAGCAGCGGGGCAUGUGGUUUAUUUGGAAGCAACGGGAAGACCCUUCCUUAGACUUGCCUUUUCUGCCAUUCCCCUUAUUCGGGGAGGUUCUUUCGGGGCCAGGAAGACAGGUGGUGCAUGGUUUUGUUCAGUUGGUUUGGUGAGAUGUUGGGUUAAUUCCCGCAAGGGGGGCACCCCUUUUUUUUAGUUGUUCCCAUUUAGUUGACCAUUCUAGGGAGACUCCCGGGGUUACCCGGGAGGAAGGGGGGGAGGAGGUCAAUUCUUCUUCCCCUUUAUUUUUGGGGUUCCCCACGUGUUCCAAUGGCAAGUCCAAGGAUGAAGCAAGACCGGGAGGCGGAGCAAUAUUCAAAAACUUGUCUCAGUUCGGAUUGUAGGCUGAAACUCGCCUACAUGAAGUUGGAGUUGCUAGUAAUCGCGAAUCAGCAUGUCGCGGUGAAUACGUUCCCGGGCCUUGCACACACCGCCCGUCA